AUUGAACGCUUGCGGCAGGCCUAACACAUGCAAGUCGAACGAGUGGCGGACGUGUUAGUAAUGUCUGGGAAACUGCCUGAUGGAUGGGGAUAACUACCGGAAACCGUAGCUAAUACCGCCUACCAUCGGAUGUGCCCAGAUGGGAUUAGCUAGUAGGUGGGGUAACGGCUAACCUAGGCGACGAUCCCUAGCUGGUCUUAGAGGAUGACCAGCCACACUGGAAAUGAGCCACGGUCCAGACUCCUACGGGAGGCAGCAGUGGAGAAUAUUGCAAGAUGGGCGCAAGCCUGAUGCAGCCAUGCCGCGUGUAUGAAGAAGGCCUUCGGGUUGUAAAGUAAUUUCAGCGGGGAGGCGUUACCCGAAGAAGAAGCACAGGAUAACUCCGUGCCAGCCGACGCGGUAAUUC
rnacentral:rRNA from 1 species